rnacentral:SRP_RNA from 1 species
GCCGGGUGCGGUGGCGCGCGCCUGUAAUCCACGUUACCGGGAGGCUGAGGCUGGAGGAUCCUUUGAGCUCAGGAGCUCUGAGCUGCAGCGGACUAUGUCGAUCGGGUGUCCGCACUAAGUUCGGUAUCGAUAUGGUGCUCCUGGGGGAGCCCGGGACCACCAGGUCGUCUAAGGAGGGGUGCACCGGCCCAGGUUGGACACGGAGCAGGUCAGUAGUGGGAUCGCGCCUGUGAAUAGACGCUGUAGUGCAGCCUGAGUAACACAGCGGGACCCAGUCUUUU